CUGCGCGGUUUUUUGCGUAGAUGGGCGCAAGAGAUAACGCGUAAACUUUGUCUUCUGCAGAGCUUCUGCAGCCGCCCCUUUCAUUUCUUUUUGCACGCAUGCAUAGGUUCUCAUGGGUUAAUGCGCUUGCGUUCGCUAUUCUGCUUCUUUAGUUUGGCUAAGUGCGAGAGGGGGAAGCCGAUGCGGAUGUCGAGUGCCGGUGAACACAAAAACCGAGAAGCAAUGCCGUCUCAAAAUAACAACAGGGCCUGAUGACUGUUCACAAAAUUCAUCCACAUAGGCAGCCAGAUGAAAAGUUGCAAUAAAGGUGUACAAGUUUUACGAGGUUGCUCCACUCAUUUACAUGCAAAGGCCACCAUGUGCCUAGAACAAGUAUGACUAAUAACAUCCAUUUUACGUCUCAAGCCUGGGAUAUAACCUCCAUCAAUCAUCCAGAUAACAUACUGAAAAAGUUCGGCAGAGACACUUAUGACUGCUUAUGGGAAGGCAUCAUUGCUGCCCAGCAACAGGCAAAAACCAGUAGUUGCAGCAGAAGUGCCUCAGUGAUGUUUAUUGCCACUACGCAACCACCAGGCUGUCUGCCGUCAUCAUCUGCAAAUGCGACCGCACAGCUGGCAAGUUCCUUCGCUGCCACUGGUACUGCCCUCGGAGCUUUUUGCAGAAGAGCAACUUCCAAGAGACAAGUGUGCACCCACAGUCGAGCGCCUAUUUCCCUACACUGCUUGAUAUCCUUUGUACAGUCUGAUCACCUGAGCAGUGACUUGAGAAACUGCACACUGCCGUUUUUCCAAUUUUUCAUAUGUCUGACACCGUGCACUGAAGUUUUUCAGUUCUUUUGACAACAAACUCUAACAUCCAGCUCACAUUAAACGCAGCCGUACAUAUGUGUAUAUGCAAUAAGCUGCACGAGCACGUUCACAUUCUUUUGCAUCAAAGAGGGCAAGUGUGACUGUGCUUUCAUAAACUGCACUGUAACGUCUCUUCAAAACAUAUUCCAGCAUGCAGGGGUGGGACUCUUGCGUCAGUUGUGCCAUUUUGAUACAAACAAAAGUUUCUGCGCCAAACUGCUUCAGGAGUUGUUUUUUGUUGCUGAAGUUGGUCAGCAACCUCUCGGGAGUUGAAUGGCGGGACAGCAAGCGACAAAAACUCAAGAUAUGGAGGAAGGAAAAAGAUUGGAGAGAGAAUUAUGUCACACAGCCAGCCUUGGCAAGGGAGUGCUUCGUGAAUCCAGUCCCUUUGCCCAUUGUCGGCCCAGCACAUGACUUUUAUGUCGAGAUCGCUGAUCAAGAAUCGAGAUUUGCCGAAAUGUUUGGUGCCCGGUAAUUGUUCUUUUAUUCUAUG